rnacentral:rRNA from 1 species
AUGGGAGUGAGAAUGUUGGCAUGAGUAGCGAGAUGUGGGUGAGAAUCCCACAGGCCGUAAACCCAAGGUUUCCAGGGGAAGGUUCGUCCGCCCUGGGUUAGUCGGGACCUAAGCUGAGGCCGAAAGGCGUAGGUGAUGGACAACAGGUUGAUAUUCCUGUACUACCGAUAACCGUUUGAGAGAAGGGAUGACACAGUAGGAUAAGC